UUUUAAACCCUAACUGAACUUUUUUUCCAUUCAGCCAGCAUUAGGGUUUUAAACCCUAAACUGAGCUUUUUCAUGCAAUCAGCAUUAGGGUUUUAAACCCUAAACUGAAUUUUUCCUUUAGUCAGCAUUAGGUUUUAAACCCUAAACUGAACUUUUUUUCCUUUCAGCCAGCAUUAGGGUUUUAAACCCUAAACUGAGCUUUUCCAUGCAAUCAGCAUUAGGGUUUUAAACCCUAAACUGAAUUUUUCCUUUACUCAGCAUUAGGGUUUUAAACCCUAAACUGAACUUUUUUUCCUUUCAGCCAGCAUUAGGGUUUUAAACCUAACUGAGCUUUUCCAUGCAAUCAGCAUUAGGGUUUUAACCCCUAAACUGAAUUUUUCCUUUAGUCAGCAUUAUGGUUUUAAACCCUAAACUGAACUUUUUUCCAUUCAGCCAGCAUUAGGGUUUUAAACCCUAAACUGAGCUUUUCCAUGCAAUCAGCAUUAGGGUUUUAAACCCUAAACUGAAUUUUUCCUUUAGUCAGCAUUAGGGUUUUUAACCCUGAACUGAACUUUUUCCUUUAAUCAGUCUUAGGGUUUUAAACCCUAAACUGAACUUUUUCCAUUCAGCCAGCAUUAGGGUUUUAAACCAUAAACUGAGCUUUUCCAUGCAGUCAGCAUUAGGGUUUUAAACCCUAAACUGAACUUUUCCUUUCAAUCAGCAUUAGGGUUUUAAACCCUAAGCUGAACUUUUCCCUUUCAGUCAGCAUUAGGGUUUUAAACCUUAAACUGAACCUUUCCCUUUCAGUCAGCAUUAGGGUUUUAAACCCUAAACUGAACUUUUUCCAUUCAGCCAGCAUUAGGGUUUUAAACCCUAAACUGAGCUCUUCCAUGCAGUCAGCAUUAGGGUUUUAAACCCUAAACUGAAUUUUCCUUUAGUCAGCAUUAGGGUUUUAAACCCUAAACUGAACGUUUUCCAUUCAGCCAGCAUUAGGGUUUUAAACCCUAAACUGAGCUUUUCCAUGCAAUCAGCAUUAGGGUUUUAAACCCUAAACUGAAUUUUUCCUUUAAUCAGCAUUAGGGUUUUAAACCUUAAACUGAAUUUUUCCUUUAGUCAGCAUUAGGGUUUUAAACCCUAAACUGAACUUUUUUCCAUUCAGCCAGCAUUAGGGUUUUAAACCCUAAACUGAGCUUUCCAUGCAAUCAGCAUUAGGGUUUUAAACCCUAAACUAAAUUUUUCCUUUAGUCAGCAUUAGGGUUUUAAACCCUAAACUGAACUUUUUCCUUUAGUCAGCAUUAGGGUUUUAAACCUUAUACUGAGCUUUUCCUUGCAAUUAGCAUUUGGGUUUUAAACCCUAAGAUGAACUUCUCCCCAGCUAGUCGGUAUUAGGACAUUUCCUUAGGAAGAACCUAGAUCCUUAUGGAUUUGCUAGGAAAAUCCUUGGAAUCUUAUAGGCUUGUAGAGAAUUCUAGAAAAAACCCUUAUCUUGUAAAUAUCAAGGACUUGUGUAAUAAUUAAUAUUUACGCACUAGCCCCUAGGAGACUAGUAUAUAAAGGGGGUCAUUCAUUUGCAAUUCAUCAAGCAAGCAAUUCAAGUUCUCUCUAAUACAAAGCUUCCUUUAACAAUUCUCUUGUGUUCUUUCUUCCAUUCUCUUAGUGAUCUUGAGUAUAGUAAGGCUGACUUGGCAUAGCAAGAACGUGAGCAAGUUGUGCAAGAUCGUGAGCGAGUUGUCAAGUGUCGCACGUGUACUUAGUUAACAACUAAGGACGUGACAACGUGGU
rnacentral:lncRNA from 1 species